rnacentral:tRNA from 1 species
AUCCUUGUAGUUUAUAUUAUAAAAUGUAACGUUGAAAACGUUAUGAAAAAGUUUUUAAGGGUG